rnacentral:rRNA from 1 species
UACGUAGGGGCCUAGCGUUGUCCGGAUUUAUUGGGCGUAAAGAGCUCGUAGGCGGUUUGGUAAGUCGGGUGUGAAAUCUCCACGCUCAACGUGGAGGGGCCACCCGAUACUGCCAUGACUGGAGUCCGGUAGGGGAGUGUGGAAUUCCCGGUGUAGCGGUGAAAUGCGCAGAUAUCGGGAGGAACACCAGUAGCGAAGGCGGCUCUCUGGAACGCAACUGACGCUGAGACGCGAAAGCGUGGGGAGCAAACAGG